ACCUAUCUGGCUCAGUCGGUAGAGCAUGUGACUCUUGAUCUCGGGAUUGUGAGUUCAAGCCCCAUGUUGGGUG
rnacentral:tRNA from 1 species